GAUAGGGAGCAGUGGUACAUGUUGCAUUCCAGGUAACCACUGCUUCAGAAAGAGACGUAGCAGUACUCUUCAGCCAAGCUGGUUGUCUUUGGUCAAAAGCAGAGAAACAAGGUGUGCCCCUUUUCUUUGGAGAGCAGAAUGAAGAAGAUACUUUUUAAAGUUUCUUUCUAUCUCCUACCUCUAUCGGUCAGUAUGAUCAUCAGGGAGUUGAUGUUUCUGCAAUUUUGUGUCAUAUCAGUUUCCCUUUAUAGCUGCUGGGAAGUUACACCCUGGUCCUUGCAUGUGGUGCAUCAUCAGAUUCUGCAAAUCAUUGGAGUAUCCAGACUUGGAGCGAUGACCCUACAUAAAGGAAGCAGGUAGACCCGAAAUUAAAGGUCACCUAAUGGGAAAAGAGUCAGAAUAAAUUAAGACAAGCCAUAUCCUGCUGCUUCUCAUCCCUAUGUCUGACCGCGGCAGUGCCCUGAAAAGUUGUGCCAAAUGAUGAGCUGACGGGAGAAUAAUUAAAGUCAUUCAAUUAUCAAGUGUUUAUGGAAGAUCAACUAUGAGCCAGGAACUGUGCUGCAUUAUGGAGAUACGACAGUGAACCUGACAGAUACCAAAUCUGCCUUCUCAAAUAUCUAGUGUCAGAAUGCAUUGCUUUGAAUUUCCUCCAAGAAAGUCUAGCCAGAGUAAAUGCAAUAGACUCUUCUGACAUAGGAAAAAGUACGACAUGUUCUUUAAUUGUUUUACCCUAAGUAUCUCAAAAAAUACAAUGACAAAAUUUACAUCUAAGAACAUAAAUUGAUAUGUAUAAUAAUGUUAUUUUUAAACUUUUAAUAAUUUAAGCAACAAGCCUCUCAUUCAAAUGGAUAAUUUAUUGGAAAGGAAAUCAGGCACAGUUAUUAGAAAUAAAUAACUUGUGAUUACUCAAGUUUAAACAAAAAUAUUAAUGUCACAGCUUCAGUAGAUUGACUAAUCAUCAUCUUAAACUAUAUAGAGAUACAGGGGAGAUGAAAUGAAAAUUGGAACAGAUAGGUUUGAGGUAGGAGGAAGGCAGGCAGAAGAGUAAACGUAGACAGGCUAUUAUUAAGUUCUGGAUUGCUGUAGGGUUGACAAGUUCAGAGAGUAAUCUUAAAACUUUAGAAUUCUGAUAAUUUAUUUUUGUUCCUCAACUGAGAGGGAGAUUCAAAAAGGAGGUAUCAGAAAGUGAGGCAAAGUUUAAAAUUUAACCUAUUUUAUUGGCCUUGGUAGAAAAUAUUAUAUAUUUUUGACUAAAAAAUAAUAAUACAUUUGGAUUUUAUUUUACACUUAAACAUCCACUUUCACAAAUAAUUACAAAAAAUUAUAAUGUUCACAGUAACAGCUAACGAUACUUAUCUGCAAGGAAAGUAAAACAGAAUAUGAUAUCAUGAAAAAUAGUUCAUUAUAUAAGUGGAAUUAAAUGUAAUAGAUGUAUAACAUCAUAUAUUUCCAUAUGUAUAUUUAAUUAUGUACAUUUCUAUAUAUAUGAAGAUGUAUAUACUAUUACAUAUAUAUUAUAUAGCAUACAAUUUAUAUAUGAACAGAUAUGUUCCAUUGUUCUAAAAUACAUAUGUAAUCAUAUAGUCUUAAAUUUCCAUUCUUCCCAAACCCACAUGUAACCAACUCUCAGCCAUUUGUUAAUUCAAUCACUGUUUAUUGACCUAUGAUACUCCAGUUAUUGUUUCUGGUUGUUAGACCGAGUGUUGAAUAAGAAUGAAUCAUCUCUAUACUCAUAGAUCAUGCAUUAUAGAAGGAAAGAGAGAUGUAACACAUGCACAUAAAUACCAAUUAAUAGCCUUUUAUUUUGAACAAAUGGGUGAAAUGGGCAAAACAAUAUUCUCACUUUAUUUUGAAAUAGAGACUUUUUACUCAUAAUUUUUAAAGACUUCAAAGCAAAUAUUUUUAGAAAUGACAAUUAUUUGUCUCUAAAGUUGGUGAUACUCUUUGUGAAAGAAAUAAUUUUAUUCCUCUAUUAAUUUAAUAUUGGUCUGCAUCAG
rnacentral:lncRNA from 1 species